AUGGCUUUUAAACGAGAAAAUAAUGUGAUGUGCUGCCCUGGGUGCGGGCUGUGCCCGGAGGGUUUCUUAAUGCCGAGCGACUUCCUUUGCAAAUUAAUUGCAACUUUCUUUUGGGCAAAAAUAGGCCUGGAAGCCCCUUCCCCGCAGGCUCUUCCGCACGUGCCGUCACUCGCUCCAUCAUCCCCUUCCUCCCACUCCUGUUUCUGCCUUCCCCUGCCCCGCGGGACGGUGGCCGCCUGCGAGGGGACGGGGGGAUGUCCCACGGGGACGGCAGCCGUGCCGGGGCGAGGGGAGCAUCACGGCCCUGUCCCUUUGGGAAGGAACCAGGUGUGGGGGUCAGUGGGGGUGGGAGAGGGGUGGCAGAGGGGGACGAAAAGGAAAGGUGAGGUGGGAAAAGUGUCCGGAGGAGCCGGGAGCCCACCUCACCCCCCUGGAUGUGCCCCACCAGGAGUGCUUUCUGCUGGGUUUAAGCCCCCAGAAGCAGAGCCUUUCCCCAGCAGCCGUGCCCGGGGGCUCGCUGAGGUGCAGAACAGCCCUGGGCUGGGGUCCCGACAGCAGAGACCCCCGGUGCCUGUGUGGCAGGGUGUCCUGCCCGUCCCCCCCGCUGCCACGGCAGCCAGGACUCACCCUGGUUGCUCUCCUCUCCUCACAUUUUUCUUCUUUAUGCUGUUAAUGCUUUUAUAUUUGCUCACUGAGCGUCGCAGGGAGCGCAGCAUCCCGUUGCCCACAGGAGAUGGUGGGGAAGGGGCUGGGGAUGUGCCCGGGGGGCUGAGUGGGGCUGGACCACCAGAGCAGUGCCAGGCUCUUCCUGGUGGAGAUGCCACCAAGAUGCCCUCCUUCAAGCGGCUCUGCAGGUCACCUCUGCCACCAGGUCCCCCAGCCAGGUCACCUGCUGCUGCUCGUGUCCCCCCUCAGCCUCGCUGGCCAACAGUCACCUCGCUGAGCAGAUACCCACCAUUGAUGAUUUUGCUCCAGGCGUACGAGCUGCUCGUAUCAAAGCUGAGCCACGUCCUCUCUCCUGCCCGUGUUCCUGGGGGUCCCGGCCGAGGCAGCUCCCCGAGACAGAGCCUUUGA
rnacentral:lncRNA from 1 species